rnacentral:misc_RNA from 1 species
UGGCAUAUGUUAAUGCUGGCCAACCCAAGGUGGGUGAGUCAUUGAUGAGGGAGAUGGAGGCGGAAGACAUGAAACCUACAGAGGAGAUUUGCAUGGCAUUGCUUCGCUCAUUUGCACAACGUGGUGAUGUUGGUGGAGCUGGUCGAAUUGCAACGACCAUGCAGUUUGCUGGAUUUCAGCCAAAUUUGGAGUCUUGUGCAUUGCUUGUUGAAGCACAUGCACAAGCAGGUGAUCCUGAUCAGGCGAGGAGCAAUUUUAACUAUAUGAUAAAAGUUGGACAUAGGCCUGAUGACAGGUGCACUGCUAUCAUGAUUGCAGCUUAUGAGAAGAAGAAUUGGUUGGAUAAGGCCUUAGACCUUUUGUUGCAACUUGAGAAGGAUGGGUUUGAGCCAGGACCUGCUACUUGCACUGUUCUUGUUGAUUGGUUGGGUAAAUUGCAGUUGGUUGAUGAGGCUGAGCAAUUAUUGGGUAAGAUUUCUGAGCAGGGUGAAACUCCUACUUUUAAGAUUCAUAUAAGCCUAUGUGAUAUGUAUGCAAGAGCUGGAAUUGAGAAAAAGGCUCUUCAAGCCCUGGGGGUUCUGGAAUCUAAGAAGGAGCAGUUGGGAUCGGAUGAUUUUGAGAGGGUUAUAAAUGGGCUUAUUGCAGGAGGUUUUGUGCAG